rnacentral:sRNA from 2 species
CACCACCACCACCUGAGCCACUUACAACCCCAUCGACCUCAUCCACGACGAUGCAAACAGGUUUGCCGGGCUUUCGAAUCCUUUUACCACCAGCAUCCAUGGUCACCCCUUUCACAUUCUCAGUGCCAACUGCAUCUCGAAUUCGACCUUUGACAACAUCUCGACUUCUUUCAUCACUUGCAUUGAUCUCAAGAACUUCAUAUCCUGCCUGCUUUGCACAGACAUGAGCAAGAGUGGUUUUACCGAGGCCAGGGGGUCCAGUCAAGAGCAAAACUUUCCGGCCCGGAAAUACAAUUGAGUCCCAUCCCUUCAGCCAGCGUAAAACAGAGCGAUGCGUCCGCUCAUCACCAAUA